rnacentral:rRNA from 1 species
AAUAGAUACCCAGGUAGUCCUGGCCGUAAACGAUGUCCACUAGAUCGCAGUGCCUCUGACGGUAUUGCGGUCGAAGCAAAAGUGCUAAGUGGACCGCCUGGGAAGUACGGUCGCAAGGCUAAAAACUCAAAGGGAAUUGACGGGGGGCUCACACAAGCGGUGGAGCAUGUGGUUCAAUUCGAAGCAACGCGCAGAACCUUACCUGGGCUUGACAUGCUAGGAUUAUCCCCAUGAAAGUGGGGUAGGCCCUUCGGGGUACAACUAGUACAGGUGCUGCAUGGCUGUCGUCAGCUCGUGUCGUGAGAUGUCGGGUUAAGUCCCUUAACGAGCGAAACCUUUACCCUUAGUUACCAGCGGGUUAUGCCGGGGACUCUAAGGGGACUGCCGGUGUCAAACCGGAGGAAGGUGGAGAUGACGUCAAGUCCUCAUGGCCUUUAUGCCCAGGGCCACACACGUGCUACAAUGGCGUGGACAGAGCGAACCAAGAGCGCAAGCUGGAGGAAAUCGCAGAAAUCAGCCCCAGUUCAGAUCGG